rnacentral:rRNA from 1 species
GGGAGAAAGCGUUAUCCGGCUUUAUUGGGUGUAAAGGGUGCGUAGACGGGAAUGCAAGUUGGUUGUGAAAUCCCUCGGCUUAACUGAGGAACUGCAACCAAAACUACAUUUCUUGAGUGCUGGAGAGGAAAGUGGAAUUCCUAGUGUAGCGGUGAAAUGCGUAGAUAUUAGGAGGAACACCAGUGGCGAAGGCGACUUUCUGGACAGUAACUGACGUUGAGGCACGAAAGUGUGGGGAGCAAAC